rnacentral:rRNA from 1 species
UACGUAGGGCGCAAGCGUUGUCCGGAAUUAUUGGGCGUAAAGGGCUCGUAGGCGGUCCGUCACGUCGGGAGUGAAAUCCUGGGGCUUAACCCCAGAACUGCUUCCGAUACGGGCAGACUAGAGGUAGGUAGGGGAGAAUGGAAUUCCUGGUGUAGCGGUGGAAUGCGCAGAUAUCAGGAGGAACACCAGUGGCGAAGGCGGUUCUCUGGGCCUUACCUGACGCUGAGGAGCGAAAGCGUGGGGAGCAAACAGG